rnacentral:piRNA from 1 species
UGGCCUGUGCUCACCUGUGUGGGUGUC